rnacentral:lncRNA from 1 species
AUCGACUUUGGUGAAAUUUACGUUGUCACAGUUAUGGAACCUAAGUUGUUCAGUUACGUUUCCGUAUCUGAUUGUUCCGCUGCGCAGGUUCAAUGCCGCUCCCGCUCGCGUUAGCAAAUCGGAACCUAUAAUGGCAUCGAACGUAGCUAGAGUGUCUAACAAAAAAAAUGGGGCGUUUUGCCCGAAAAUAUUCAUUAGGCACUUGUUUUUUAUUUCACUGGAGCCAUGUCGCUCUGUGGUUUCCCCCAAUUGGCCUGUUGCCUAAACCUAGACAUCGAUGGGUCAACUUCCAUAGGCUGCACUUUGUUUUGUUGUGGGGCCUCUUUAUCGUUUGGCUUUGGCCAAGGAUCACCCUGUUGCUGCCUAUUUUGAUUACUUUUUCCCACAAAAUUUGGGUUCUUUUCCUGACCUCCACCUUGUCUGGCCUGUGCCCGAUGACCCUGUCUAUUGCCGUCGCCUGAAUGGUUUUUAUCCUCGAUCACCUUUGCAUACGUAGCGGCAAAUGCGCUUCUCUCAAUGCUAUUUUCGGCCUCGCGAGCUAGAGCUAAGGCGGAUGGCAAAUCCUUGGGCUGUGCCGGGAGAACGAACAAUUUUAGCGGCCUCUUGAGGCCUCUUGUUUUGUCCGCAUAUGUGCAAUCGAGUCUAGCUAUGAUUGCAUCAAAAUUGAGCACCGUGUUGUGCGAUGUGAGCAAUGCUCGAGCUGUUCCACAGAUUUUAUUUUUUAUGAUGGCCACAGCCUCGUAGUGUGUCUGACUACCAGAGUAGUUUUUGAAAACUUCGUACGCAUCUAGAGCAGAUUGUCUCCAAGACACAUAUUCCUCAUGAUUCCCGUUGAAAGUUGGUACUGAUUUCAUGAUAUCUAGUUUCACUUCACAUUUUAUACUAGUGUCAAUGGUCACUCUCUUAUAAGUUUCCACCUGAGGGACACCUACAGUUAGAGCGCUCACACUAUUUCUAACUUUUUCAAGUUCCCUGCUAAAUUCUGCACUCAGUCGUCGUUCCUGUUCGACGAGGGCUGUGUUGAUUGCGCCUUCUACUAACGCUUUUAUCAUGGCUGGGUCCAUUUUAAAUUGAUUCUGCACUGUUCUGACUGGUGGAUGGUACAAUAAGUCUAGGCUCUCGUCGCUGUCGUAUUCGACCUUGUUUCUGUAGUCCCAACUCAUAAACGAUCAGCGAAGGGGAGAUCAAAAUUCUCUCACAAGCUUUAUUUUUUCCGAACAGUCACUUACAUGUUAUUUUUCUUGGGGACGUGGAUCCUAAAUCCCGUUGGGCGCCAAUUAACUUUAUGUCGUUUUUGGUCCGAGCUGCGGUAUGCGUUGCGUUGGCUCCGGCGGCAGCGAUCGGGUUCCCGUGGCCCGCUCUUGUAGCGGGGGACGGUGGUUGCGGUUGGCAACUGAGUCUUCUACCGAAGAUUAUGUUGAGAGGGNAACCUACACCGAAACCUAGCCGGCGAGCCGUCCGCGCUCACAAGAGAUAAGAGCCGCCUACGCAUAAACAAGAUCAUGCGAUCGCUGGCGCCCAAUCAGAUAACAGAGCCGCCCGCUGCAACGGCAUCUACUGCAUCGGCGCCCUCCGUAUCGGACUGGAUAAGUUAGGGCGGCACAUGAUAUUUCACAUUUCUUGUGCGCUAAGUUAGGGUGUCCCAUGUUAUUGCUUAUGUGUUAACUUGUAC